CCCUUAGAUGUUCUGGGCCGCACGCGUGCUACACUGAGUGGAUCAGCGGGUCAGGUUGCGCGAAAGCGUUUCCUAAUCUUUAAAUCCGCUCGUGAUGGGGAUUGACGGUUGCAAUUUUCUGUCAUGAACGAGGAAUACCUUGUCAGCGCGGGUCAUCAUCCCGCGCUGAAUACGUCCCUGCCCUUUGUACACACCGCCCGUCGCUCCUACCGAUUGAGUGGUCCGGUGAGGCUUUGGGAUCUGAGCGGAAAGAGCGUUUCGCUGUUUCUGCUCGGAAAACUCAGUCGAACCUUAUCAUUUAGAGGAAGGAGAAGUCGUAACA
rnacentral:rRNA from 1 species